GUUAGUAUAGCAAAAUCUGGCAUUGCAAAAGAUCUAAACCCUUUCCAUAGAAGUUCAAAUCCUCUUGCUAACU
rnacentral:tRNA from 1 species